GCAUAUAAUAAUGCCAGAAUGAAGUUUUCUGACUUUUUCUGAGUUUUGCCAGGAAAUGGGUACAUUGGUAGGUUUAUGGGAGUGGAAAUGCAAAGGAUGGGAAGAAAGUACAAGCUGGGAAUAGAUGCUGGUUUUCAUGUCUGCUUAUAAGUACCCUUUUUUGCUUAACCUUAGAUCACAAACUCCAAAACAAUUAAGAUCACUCUGAUCAGAUACCCCUUCCUAAUCUCCUCCCAUCUAUGGGUUCUUGCGCAUCCCUUCCCCUAACGCAGAGUGAGCUGCUCAGCGUGGGGGAUGUGCCCCCGCACCUGCACUGCCCUAACCACCAGCCUCACCUCCCUGGGCACAUCUGUGUCGAGAUCCUGAUUUGCUUUCCUUCUUUCCCUCAUUCUCUUUGCAGAUUAUGUCGGUUAUCAACUGAACCUGACCAGAAAUCAAAAAAUGUAACAACGUAUAUUUUAUGCUGUCAGUAAAAAGCACUAGUCAGACCCCAGCCAGCCGCAAGAACCGGGUCCCAACAUUCUCCCAGAGCUGUAAUGAAAAGGAAGAAAGACAAUUCUUUUUAACUGCCCUGCGUCGGUCUCCCCUUCAGCAAUAAUACUUUCAGCAAUUACCUUGUAAACAGAGCGGAGAGAAUUGCAGGAAAUAUCGACAUGGUGACCCAAGCCGUUCUUCUUGCUAAUUAAAAGAAACUCAUAAGUCUAGAUGUGGAUUAACUUAAAUUCCUCUAAAAGACAGAAAGUAAUUUGGGCAAUAAAAAUAAUUAAACUUCCCAAAUAUGUAAGAACAACUCUUAAGAGACUGGGGAAAACAAAGGCUUCUUCCUCAGAAGUAUACGUCAUCCUCCGGAGUAGAGCAGAGCUGGUUUGAAGAUGAUUCUGAGAGGACGCGAAGAGUUUCAUUUGGACUCAAACCGUGUGGUCUCCGAUGACCGUCCAUGUAUAUUUCACUCAGAUGACUUUGGCCUUAUGCAUGUGCUUAUUUUAAAGGGGCAAAUGUCACGUGGGGUGAUCAGUCAAAAGGUUCAUAGUUUGCUUAUUGUAAGAAGGAAUGGAUUUUUUAAGUAGUUGAAUUUAUUGAUCUGUUCCUUUGUGAUUUCUUCUAUGGCUUUUAUGCUCAGAAAGUCCUUCUUUGUCCCAAGAUCUGUUCAAUAUUUGCCUGUAUCUUCUUCCAGUCUUUUUAGGGCUCCUUUUUUUUUUUUUUACAGUUAACUCUGCAAUUUCUAGAAUUUAUUCUAAAGUAUUAUAGUGAAUAUUCAUUAUGUUUCUGGCUGAGUGGCAACUUGGACAUAGUCCUUCCAGUGCGUGUGCGUGUGUGUGCGUGUGUGCGCACGCGCGCACGUGCGCGCGCGUAGGGAAUGUUCCCACCUUAUCUGUCUGGACCUCCCUUGUGGUGGAAGCCAGACGUUUGACAUUCAGCUGCCCUUGCCAAUAGGGCUCACACAUGUGACCAAGGCUUUCCCGAUCCACGUGAAAUUUUGAUUGAGAAACCAGUGAUGGGUGGGGUAGGAGCCCGAAAAUCCACCCUGGGCAGGGUGGGGGCAGGGGCCCCCAGACCUCAGAGGCAGCGAUGGCAGAGGUUCUGAUGGCAGCAGCUUUCCUGCAGCUCCAGGGCUGAGGUCUGGAGGUCGGUACUCAGGAGGGGAGCAGUAGGGUCUCCACUAGACCUGGCUUGUGCUGUAAUUUGGGCUGUUCCUGGCUGCAAAGUCCUCAGGCCUGAUUCCUGGCCUUCUUAGAGCGUCUUGGGGCCACUUAAUACCCUUUAAUAAUUCCCUUUUCUGCUUACACUAGCUAGAGAGCGUUCCAUUGUCUGUCACCAAGAACACUGGCUAAUUCACGUAUGCGGUGCAGUAAGAAUAGAAGUUAAUUUUUUCAAAUAGCUCAUCCAUCGCUCCUACAUGAAUUGUUGAAUAAUAACAAUAGUCUGUUUUCCUCUAACUCGAAAUGCCAUCUGCUAUAGAUUGAGUUUUUAUAUGCUGAAAUUUGUAUGCUGAAAUCCCAAUCCGCAGUGUGAUAAUAUUUAGAGGGGGACCCUUUGGGAAGUACUUAGGUCAGAAAGGGGGCGCUCUAAUGAACAGGAUUAGCGCCCUUAAAAAAGAAACCCAGGAGACCCCCCCCCCGGCCCCUCCACCACGUGAGGACAUGGAGAAGACAGCUGUUCGUGAACCAGGAAGUCAGGAGGCUCUCGCCAGACGCUGAAUCGCCCACAUGUUGAUCCUGGACUUCCCAGCCUCCAACACUGUAAGAAAGGAACUUCUGUUGUUUAGAAGCCACGUGGUGACGUGGUAUUCUGCUUCGACAGCCCCAACGGACCAAGACAUCAUCUUAUUUCCUUAGAUCCACUGGGGUCAGUUCCCGUGCUCUCGACUGUGUUUGAUCAACGGUCAGUUAGAUUGUCUGGAAGAGGAAGGAACGCAGACGACCACAAACCUCGUUCUGCACUGUGACAGUGACCCGCUGCUUUCUGAUUCCACCUGCAGAUAAUUGUAUUCUUGCCUUGACUGCUAUUCAUAUCAUUUAAAGUAAUGUGAUUUUUACAUUCUGAGUCACCGCUCUAAUUUUUUUUUUCCUUCCACAAAGCCAACUAUGGAGACAUCUGACCUUCUCCAUACCUGUGCCAAGCAGACAUCCUGAUGACAAUUAGAGAAUUCUGUUAUUUGGCUGUUUAGGGUAGCAGAUACAAACUGGGAUGACGAACAGAAUUUUUCCAUUGCCUGGUGUUGAACAGGUUGUGCAGACAGCUCCCUUUCUCUCCUUUUCCUUGGAGGAAGGGUGGAAAUUAAACCACAAGCACACUGAACAAGUAAGUCUAUGAUGAGGUCGACAGUGGUCAGGGUUGACCAUAUUGGGGGCUUUUGGUUGCCUGCUGCCUCCUUCUCCACUUUAAUCAGGUGCUUCACAUGACCUCCCGCUACAUCCUUCAACCUAAAAAGCUAGAGGCAGGAGUCUUCAUUCAGGCAGCACAAGGACCAGGUUCAAAACCCAUUCUAGGAGUUCCCCUUGUGGUGCAGUGGAAAUGAACCCAACUAGAAACCAGGAGGUUGCGAGUUCGAUCCCUGGCCUCACUCAGUGGGUUAAGGAUCCAGCGUUGCCGUGAGCUGUGGUGUAGGUCACAGACGUGGCUCGGAUCUGGCAUUGCUAUGGCUCUGGCGUAGCCACAGGUAUGGCCCUGAAAAGAAAAAAAAAAUCAGAGAAAAACAAAACAAAAUGCAAAAGCAACAGACAAAAGACAGUCCCACUAGGGCAGCUCUUAACUGUUUUUUUCUUUAAUCUCUGUCUCUACAAAUAGAAAGAAUGACAGAGAAUAGCUAGAAGCUGAACACACUCUAAUUAGCCGAGUCUGAUAGCAUUUAUUCUAAGGUCCUCAGGGAAUGGGCAGAUAUUACUGCAAAGCUAUUAACUAUUGUUUUUCAGUUCUUCAGAAGGAGAAAGGAAACUCUCAAACUAUGAGAAAGGUCAUCUACCUACUCAAAAUGGAAUAAAAAAAGGGUGACUUUGGGUUUACAAGCUAGACAUUUUUAACUCUUUUUUUUUUUCAAUCACUAAAUUGGUUGUUUUAUUAUUCACUCACCUUACAUAUUUUCCUCCUUAAAACCUGAGGAUCUUUGAUCAUAUGAAGAGUGGCUCUAACCUCGUUCUGUUCACCAGCUUUCAGCCCAGCAUUCCCGUCCCUGUCAGCUGGGUCACUGUUUUGCCCUCUUCCCUUUGAAAGUUCUGCAUCCUCUUUUGCUGAUUCCUCCCCACUCGUUCACCUCUUCCAAGGCUAAAAGCCUCUUCAGCAGGCUCCUCACGUGCAAGUUCUGAGGAGGGGCUGUCUUGGGGUGAGAGGGAGGAGAGGGAAGGGAGUUUAACUCUGUUUUUAUCCCGGGAAAGAUGGUAGGGAGACCCGUUAAACAGGUAGAAAUGCAGUUGGUGGGCUGAACAUGAAGAUCUGGGGGCAGAGGAAGCGGGGACAUUGCAAUGAAGUGGCCCCUCAUGCUUUCUGGUCACACUCAGACGGUGGGAGGCUGGUCCCCUGAAGGUGGCUCUGAGCCAGGGCAAACCCUCCAGGGCUGGAAUCAGGUGAGCUGGGUCACAUGGCUGGGCUGCUAUGAGCACAAGGGGUGGGAUUCCAGACUCAACCACAGAAACCCAGCUCACUGGCUUAAGCUGGAAAGGGUGGGGUCUUGGCUUUAUGGCAUCUUCCUUCUGGAUUCUCUCUACUGGGUUUUUUUUUUUUUUUCUUGGUUUUUUGUUUUGUUUUGUUUUGUUUUUGGAGUGUAGUUGACUUACGAUGUUGUAUUAGUUUCAAGCGUACAGCAAAGUGGCUGUUUCUGGCUCUGUGUCCUUCUGCGUCAACUCCAUUUCAGCAUCUGUUUUCUCCUGUGGAGUCUGAGGUUUCAUGUUUCAUGAAAAGAAGGACCUUCUCCAGAUCACUCCCAGGAUGAGCUUUGGUCACCUCUGAGGAGGUCACUGAUCAAUUUUUAAUGAGGCUCAGGUGGUGCAUUGCUUGAAUAAGCAUUGGUGGGACCAUUGGCUGACUCAGCUUCAUGAAGGACCUCACGCUCUAAGACUGGGAAGUCAACUCCAACAAAAAUUGGGACUAUGUGGAGUUCCCAUCGUCGCGCAGUGGUUAAACGAAUCUGACUAGGAACCAUGAGGUUUCGGGUUCCAUCCCUGGCCUUGCUCAGUGGAUUAAAGAUCUGGCGUUGCCGGGAGCUGUGGUGUAGGUCACAGAUGCGGCUUGGAUCCCAUGUUGCUGUGGCUCUGGCGUAGGCUGGCAGCUACAUCUCCGAUUCGACCCCUAGCCUGGGAACCUCCAUAUGCCGAGGGAGUGGCCCAAGAAAUGGCAAAAAGACAAAAAAAAAAAAAAA
rnacentral:lncRNA from 1 species